UCUCCGUUGGUGAACCAGCGGAGGGAUCAUUACAGAGUUGCAAAACUCCCACACCAUUGUGAACGUUACCUAUCCCGUUGCUUCGGCGGACGGCCCGGGCCCCGCGCCCGGCGCCCCCCGGCCCCCCGUGGGCGCCCGCCGGAGGUAAACCAAACCCUUGAAUUGCAUGGCCUCUCUGAGUCUUCUGUACUGAAUAAGUCAAAACUUUCAGCAACGGAUCUCUUGGUUCUG
rnacentral:misc_RNA from 1 species